GUCUAGUUAUUCCAAGGACUUCACCCUUAUAUGUCAUCAGAUCUGCAAGAAGCAUCAUGUGCCGCAAAUCUAUUGUCAUUCCAUGACUUGACAUGGUAUAAUUAAUCUCAUCAAUUAUGGAAACCCUUGCUGCUUCAAUGCCUAGAGUAUGCUGCACCUCCAUUAUAUGAUUGCUCUUUGUAUAACGUCCAUCAACUCCUUCAAUGCCCAUUACAGCAAGGAGACCGGUACCUUCAACAAGCAACUCAUAUGUUUCCCCUUUGACAUCAUUUUUACGAUCUUUUUGUUGUUCU
rnacentral:misc_RNA from 1 species